GUUCCCAAAGCAUGUUAACCCAACCCAACCUUGAAUCCAACGACACAAGCAGCCUCAAGUGCGUCGAGGACGGUGGUGCGAAUCCGCAAGGAUGGUUCUGCGAUGCAACACCGAUGAUGCAAAUCCGCGAGGAAGAAGGUGCAAUGCGCAUCCAAGACCCGUCAUUGUGCGUGCGCACCAUCACCACCCUAAUCCACCUCUGUGCGCACGCAACAGCAGCGAC
rnacentral:lncRNA from 1 species